rnacentral:lncRNA from 1 species
AGCUCUGCACGAAGCAGCUUAUCCAUGCUUUCCGAUCUCCUGUCUUUCUUUUUUUUUCCCUUUCUCCCUCCCUUGCUCUGUCUCUCAUUCAUUCUCUCUCCCAUCUUUUGGCCAUCGCGCCAGAUAAAUUUAAAUGUAUCGGGCUCCGAAUCUGUCCAGCGGAGUUAAUCCAUGCAAAUCAGAAGCCCUGGCUGUCCAAGCUUGAUUCACAAAGAGGACUCAGCUACAGGAGGUCACUGGUUCCCAGCUGCUCCUCCCAUUAUAUUUUCUUCCCCCCCUUAUUGCAGAACUGCUAUAUGUAUACAGGAACCGAAAGGAUCCAAUUUACUGCAACUGCUGCCUGGUUUUUACUUACAACUUUGUUUGAAGGAACUUACCUUCCAUCUGUCUUUGCAAGGUAUCAAAUCAUUCACUUACUCUGAACAUCUCACCUGGUCCUGAGGAACAUGAAACCUACUAGAUCCAGAACCCCACUUUUCCAGAGGAUGUUACUUUGGAUUCUACUCCUGAAGGAUUGUGUCUACCCUGCAAACUAUGCAAAAUAUUACUGAUUCUGAACCUGGAGGGAAAACGGUAAGUUCAUUCAACUCAUUCUCAAACUGUUUUCAAUCACAGAACAUGGUCCUCAAGCUACUUUCUAACUCAUUUUAAGAUGUGCAGUCAGAUGCUUUUGUUUAAACGUGUAUAUACACAGAAGGAGAGAGAAAAACAAGAGACAAAGGACACACACAGGGAAGGAGAAAGCAAAAGAGAGGCAGAGAGGUAAAACAAGAGACAGGCAAGAGAGCUGGAAAAAGAUAGAAAAAUGAUUGAUUCAGUGAGAGAAAGUCAGUGAUGGAACACAAAGAGAUCAAGGGAGACAGACAAGAUAGAAAGAGACAGAAAUGGAGCAGGAAACAUUUUUAUAGUAUGCAUACUAUGAGUCAGGCACCGUGCUAGGCACCAGAGGAGACAAUUCCUACCAUGUAAGCGAGAGAAGAAUAAGAGGAAAAAAGAGAACAAGAUAAAGGCUGAGACAAUGAUGUGGAUGAGGUUGGGAGGGAGCUUCUAUUCAAGAGCUUUUAAAAUAUAUACUUUUUUAAAAUAAUUUUUAAAUAAACUUUUUAAGAUACUCA